rnacentral:rRNA from 1 species
UACGAAGGGGGCUAGCGUUGCUCGGAAUCACUGGGCGUAAAGCGCACGUAGGCGGCUUCUUAGGUCAGGGGUGAAAUCCUGGAGCUCAACUCCAGAACUGCCUUUGAUACUGAGAAGCUUGAGUCCGGGAGAGGUGAGUGGAACUGCGAGUGUAGAGGUGAAAUUCGUAGAUAUUCGCAAGAACACCAGUGGCGAAGGCGGCUCACUGGCCCGGUACUGACGCUGAGGUGCGAAAGCGUGGGGAGCAAACAGG